GCCCCUGUAGCGCAAUGGAUCACGCAUUGUACUUAUAUUACAGAGGCCGUGGGUUUGAAUCCCACUUGGGAUG